rnacentral:lncRNA from 1 species
AGCCCUGCAUGAGCAAAGGUGGGCAAAGCAAGCUCCUCCUCUUCAACAGGCUCCUGUAAUUAUGUGAGAUCGAGGGAGUUGUCCCUUCUUGGAGACUUGAGCCAGAAGAGGCACAGUGGCAAAAGCGGCCAGAAGACAAACUACCUUUCUUCAUACUCCUUUCAUUCAGCUGAUCUUUUCCCACGGAGUGCAGAACCCUGCGUUUCACUGCCAAACACUACAGGGGAGCAGAAGACUCAAGUGCGUGCAUCUUCCACUGGGACACAGGAGCUUGCUGCUUGCCUGCUCCAGGUCUGCUUCAAGGCAAGAGGGAACUAAAAUAGCUUAAAACACUUAUUGCUGUUGAAUAUGAACAUGUGACUACCUCAAACUGCAUUGCCAGUAAAGGCUUAAAAAUAACGUGGUCUGCUGCCAUCUGCUUACACAUCUUUCCUCCACCCUCCGUUGCUCUUGUCACUUCAGGCUGCUGUAAGCUCUUCAAGGCAAAGAUGAUCUUCUAUGCCUUUGCAAAAGGCAUGCCUCUGUGGCACCUUCCCUACCCCAUUAUUGCUUAGCUCUCAGCUUACACUGUACUACAGAUAAGAGAGUUGAUAGUUUUGUAAUUUGGUCUUAAUGGGGAUGUGGACUGAAGCAAACAGGACCUUCAUUUUGUGGUAUCUGCACAGUUGUAACUCAUCCCUAACGUGAAUUUUUUGGUCACACUAAGAUCUCAGGUAUUGAUCAAUGAUGUAAUUGCCAUCCUAUAGUAGGACAGAUGAUGUAAUUCUUACCCAGUUACUGAAGACAGUGACCUUGAGACAAAUCAGAUGUUUGAGAAGCAUAGAUAGUUCACUGAUUAUAAAAUGCCCUUGUUUUAAAACUAAACUGUUAUCUGUUAAUUAUCGGGGAGGAAGAACUACAACAAAAUGCCAACAUGUCACGGAAGAUACAGCCAUAUCUUGACUUUUACCAGCAGUUACGUAUUUUUGUUUUGACAGGUGACUUUUGAUGGUUUUGUUGCUUUUUUGCUUUAGCCAUCAUUUCAAUUCAAAUUAGGAUAGCAUAAAAUUUGACUCCUGUGAGCCUAAGCCUUGGUUUGAUAACCAGUCACACAUUCUUUAAAAAAAGAAAAAGUAAAGGUGUAUGUGAUAGAAGAAAUUCUGCUAGAUGGAAAGAGAAUAUAUGAUGAAGUUUUGCCAAUGGAAAGCCUAGUGGAAUGGAAAUAGAAAUGGAAACUCCCUAGUUCCAAGUAGAGAUGGCUUAAAUUUACAUUUGAGUAAGAGGCAGCAUCACUUUUCAUUUAAAUACCUAAUAAAAGAGAAAAGUGACAAGCA